CGAGUGCAUCCCAAAUAAUUGUAUUUUGAAAAUAACAUAAGAAUGAUUUUUGUACGGUAUGCAUGGAAAUUUUGAAUGUUUAUCAAAACGUGAAGUUUAUAUCGGCACAACAGAAGAACUGAAGUUUGCUGAUGUCUUCCUUGUUCUAUGAAGUCCCUCCUUCAGAAAUACGUAACGAGUUCUGAUUGUGUUGCUGGUCCAGUGUGUUGGGAUUCGACAGCAGCUUAGCACACGUUGUAUUCCUGUGGUCGCAGAUUAUUUUACAAAGGAAAGAGGAAAUCUCCCCGAGGCCGAUUGAGUCCACUAUUCCAGAGCUGAAUAUCUCCAACUAGAGGCAUUGAGACACUCUGGAGGAGAGAGGCGGCGUUUGACUUCAGCGAUGGUGACUUUGUACUUUGAGGUAGAACUGAGAAGAGAAAGUCUUCCUGGUACAGAGCAGAACAGGUCUGUGGGAUUGACUACACACGUGCCACCUGUAGACAACA